rnacentral:rRNA from 1 species
CAGCCGCCGCGGGAAUACGUAGGUGGCAAGCGUUGUCCGGAAUUAUUGGGCGUGAAGGGCUCGCAGGCGGUUUCUUAAGUCUGAUGUGAAAGCCCCCGGCUCAACCGGGGAGGGUCAUUGGAAGCUGGGAAACUUGAGUGCAGAAGAGGAGAGUGGAAUUCCACGUGUAGCGGUGAAAUGCGUAGAGAUGUGGAGGAACACCAGUGGCGAAGGCGACUCUCUGGUCUGUAACUGACGCUGAGGAGCGAAAGCGUGGGGAGCGAACAGGAUUAGAUACCCCAGUAGUCCCUGUCUCUUAUAC